rnacentral:tRNA from 1 species
CAUUGAUAGCUUAAACAUAGAGCAUAGCACUGAAGAUGCUAAGGUGACAAUCUUUGUCUCAUAGCA